rnacentral:rRNA from 1 species
AGAGUUUGAUCCUGGCUCAGGACGAACGCUGACGGUGUGCUUUAGACAUGCAAGUCGAACGCGAAAGCCCUUCGGGGUGAGUAGAGUGGCGAACGGGUGAGUAACACGUGGGUAACCUACCCCUCGCAGGGGGAUAACCGGGGGAAACCCCGGCUAAUACCCCGUACGCUUGCUGGGUCGCAUGGCCCGGCAAGGAAACGGUAGCUUCGGCCAUCCGGCGAGGGAUGGGCCCGCGGUGCAUUAGCUAGUUGGUGGGGUAACGGCCUACCAAGGCGACGAUGCAUAGCUGGUCUGAGAGGACGAUCAGCCACACUGGGACUGAGACACGGCCCAGACUCCUACGGGAGGCAGCAGUCGGGAAUCUUGCGCAAUGGGCGAAAGCCUGACGCAGCAACACCGUGUGAGCGACGAAGGCCUUCGGGUCGUAAAGCUCUGUUGUUGGGGACGAAGGGUUAGGGGUUAAUAGCCCCGAGCCUGACGGUACCCUUCGAGGAAGCCCCGGCUAACUACGUGCCAGCAGCCGCGGUAAUACGUAGGGGGCGAGCGUUGUCCGGAAUUAUUGGGCGUAAAGAGCGUGUAGGCGGCCCGGUAAGUCCGCCGUGAAAGCUUGGGGCUCAACCCCAAGUUUGCGGUGGAUACUGUCGGGCUAGAGGGUGGUAGAGGCGAGUGGAAUUCCCGGUGUAGCGGUGAAAUGCGCAGAUAUCGGGAGGAACACCAGUAGSGAAGGCGGCUCGCUGGGCCAUACCUGACGCUGAGACGCGAAAGCGUGGGGAGCAAACAGGAUUAGAUACCCCGGUAGUCC